rnacentral:lncRNA from 1 species
CCAAUCAGAGCUCGAGAAUAGAUGGUAAAAAAAUAGAAAAGUAGAGAGUAAGAGGAGUUAAGUGGAGAGGAAAAGUGAGAGAACUCAAGUUUCUUUCAGUGGAGGAACUGGAGGUCUAAAAGUUCAACAGAGUUUUGGCUUUGAGAAUCUAGUUUUGACUUAGCUUUGGAGAGUCCCCCUUCUCCUUUUUAUAUAGAAGAGUUUGUUAGGCCAUUGAGAAAGUUUGUUAGGCCGUUAAUAACCACCUG